rnacentral:misc_RNA from 1 species
CUAUUACUACUAUUACUGCUACUGCUACGACUACAGAAAACCCAAUAAUAUAAUAUAAAUCCAUGUUCAUUAUCUAACAAUCUAAGGAGUUCCUUAAAACCCAAUAAGAGACAUCGCAAAUAUAAUACAAGAAGAUAAGAGUACUAGCUCAUAGUCAUACUGCAAAUAAAAUUAUGAAAGAGUAGUUUCUAAUGAGUUUUACCCUCACUCUUGUUCUUUAAUUGAAAUGGGUGGUAA